rnacentral:lncRNA from 1 species
UCCUCAGUCUCAAAUAAAACAAGGGCUUGUUUUUUACCGUUCAUCUCAAAAAGCCUGCUGUUGACAACAGUGCCAUGCUCCUCUAAGAGGCUAACAAUCUCCUCUUCUGUUAUGUCUUGAGGGAGAGUGGGAAGGUGGAUCAUCUUUGUUGGUGAGCAACAGUACUUAUAGUUCUUUGCAGCAUUUCGAUUGAAGCGAUUGAGGAUUGAGUUCACAUAUUCAUGUGUGUCAGCACCUUGAGUUAUAUUUGGAUCCUUUGAAAAGUUCACCUCCAAUCGCUUCCCGAAAAGCAUUGCGCCCUGCUCCACAUUGUAAAACAAGUGUUCAAGGUAAAGCUUCCACACAUAAAGGAACCUCACACUUGAGAUAGAAGGACCAACCAAAGUUUGCAACGCAAUGUAGUCAAAAUGGACAUUGUAAAUACUCUAGUCAAAUGACAUUGAAUGAAAGGACUGACAUUGAACGUGCAAAAGGAUCGUCUAAAAUGAAAGGCUAAAUUACUAAAAAAAAGUUUAAAUUUUACAGUUAAUUUUAAUUAUAUUUGAAAUUCAAUUUUGUUUUUCAUCUAACUAAAUAAGUCUAAAAGUAAGUCUACAUAUAAAACUUACGGUUAGAAAUACGAAAUACAUGCAAAGACUUAGUCUGUUGACUUUCGAGUCAACAUUCCAAUUUUGAUAUCUAUGCAUUUAAUUUCUUAUGAUUAAUUAAUUAUUAUGAAUAAUGUUUUGAGGAUUUAAUUAGAAAUUUGGAAGUGUAGAGAUUAGUGUAAUUGAAUAAGUAUGAAAAGAUAUGUUGAGUUAAAUAUAAUUUAUGGAAACAGUGGCAGAAAUUAAUUAUAGCGUUUGGAUCUAAGGAGAUGUGGCUUAAUCUCAACCACCCAUUGAACAACUUGGUGGCUGAGUUGUUAUGUAAUUACAAAAAUGCCAUAGACACUUUUGCAACUACGCAUUCCCUUUCUCUUCUUUCUUUCUCUCAUUUCCUCUUCUCCUCUCCUCUUAACCGAAUACUCUCUUUCUCCCUUCUCCCAUUUUUGCUUCACUCUCUACUAAGAAAGCACAUAAAUUAAACUUUGGUUUCUUGAAAUUUAACUAUCACACAUGGAGAUUUAAGCUAAUCCUUGAAGAUUCAAGCCACAUUUCUAAGGAAAUCUAAGACUUUGACUUUUAUUAUAUUAUAUUACAUUUUCUUCUAGUUUAACAUAUCUCUUAUUUUGAAAAGAAAAAUGUAUUUGGUUUUUUUGUAAAAAAAAAAAAAAAAAGAGUAAUUCGCUGUCAAUUCGACCCUUCCUUAAAAAUUUUUCAUGUCCAAUGAAUUCCCUUUCUAUAUAAAAUUUUUCAUGUCCAAUGAAUUCCCUUUCUAUAUAAAAUUUUUCAUGUCCAAUGAAUUCCCUUUCUAUAUAAAAUUUUUCCUGUCACUUAUAUUAGUGAAUAAUGGAACGUAAAUUACAAUUCUAUUCUCCAUUCUAUGUAGAUCCUAAGAGUAGUUGAUGUAACUCAAACACGGUAAGACUUUGAAUCUGAUUUUUAUAGCGUGGUCUAGAAGUAAGAAAAUACAUAUAAAUUAGUAACUUUUGCCUCUUUCUAUUAAUGUAUGUCUUGAUUCUUCUGACUAGUCCUUUGGCGCAAAUUUUCUAUACCAAUUACCAAGAGGGUCAUGAAUAGAAUGGGCAAUCACUAAAAAGAAAAAAGAAAAAAAAAACAUAUAUUUUAGCUUUUUUUUUGAGUUAGUUUUUUAGUGUUUUGAUAAGUUAAAAUUUUAUUUCUAUUAACUAUAGCAUCCGUAAUAUAAUCUUUAUAAUAACAUUAGAGGUUGAGAGUUGAGAGAAUUUUUUAUGAAACAUUAAACACCGAAACAUUUAGUUUUUCAUGUUUAACAUUUAGCUUUUAAUUAAAUUUUUUUUUUUUUUUUACAAUCACAUGACUGUUUUUCCUUUAAAUUUAGCUAAUUAAAUAAUUAAUAUUUUUUUUUGUUAUUUAGGCGUGAACUUUUGUAGAUUAUUUUAUUUUAUUUUGAUAUAGGCGUGAGACUGUGGAUUGCUGCUUUUGCUUUAAAAUAAUAGAAGGAAUUGUAAGAGGGAAGGGUGGCUGUUUGUUGGGUUUGGUUUGGGAUUUUUGUUGACCCACACGGAAGGUUUAAGGAGGAAUCGAAUCGAGCAGUCAACACUCAACACGCCUCUACGAAAUACGAGUUGGUCAAAUUCUCGGUUCUCGAUCGAGUAUGGGAAAUGAUGCCAAUGCCAAUUUCAGUGGCCAAUCAAGGCCUAUUUUAAAUUCUCCAUUCAUGCCUUAUUUUUAUUUUCACACUUAUUAAAAAAAUUAUAAUAAAUAUUUUCAAUAUUUUUAUUAAUAUGCCUCUAUAAUUAAAUGAGAAAAUUGUUAAUGAUAAUGUAUACCAAAUUAGAGGUACACUUGUACAAGAAAGUGCAUUAGAGAAUUAAAAAAAUUAAAUUCAUUUUCAAAACAUAAUUUGGAUUAAAUAAAAAAGAAAGUAAGUUCAUCUUUUUCUUUUUUUAACCAUUCGGUGUUUAAAGUUUACCAGUCCGAUUAAUCCGGAUUUAUGGUAGAUAGGUCCACAGAAGUGGCAAAGCAGUCCCUCCCGACUGUUUAAAGACUCCAUACUCAGAGUUUGAAUUCGAAAUUUCUGAUUAAGGGAAAAUAAAUUCUGUCAUCUCAUAUCAUUCCUCAUGAGCAAGUAAGUUCAUCUUUACGAGAUGGAACAGUAUAAUUUUUCCUAUUACAAAAAAACAAUCUCUCUAUCCUUUAAAUUAUGUCCUUUUUUAGAUUUUUUUUAUUAUAUUUUAUCUAUCACUUUGGAAAAUAUAACUUGCAAUAUUAUUAUUUUUUUUAAAUUGAGGUGGUUUAAUUAUUUUUUNNNNNNNNNNNNNNNNNNNNNNNNNNNNNNNNNNNNNNNNNNNNNNNNNNNNNNNNNNNNNNNNNNNNNNNNNNNNNNNNNNNNNNNNNNNNNNNNNNNNNNNNNNNNNNNNNNNNNNNNNNNNNNNNNNNNNNNNNNNNNNNNNNNNNNNNNNNNNNNNNNNNNNNNNNNNNNNNNNNNNNNNNNNNNNNNNNNNNNNNNNNNNNNNNNNNNNNNNNNNNNNNNNNNNNNNNNNNNNNNNNNNNNNNNNNNNNNNNNNNNNNNNNNNNNNNNNNNNNNNAAUUUUAAUCAUAUGUUGAUUAAAGUUCAAUCAAAAUUUUGUAAUAUUCAAAAUGACUUCAACAAUCUCUCGAUUCUAAUACUUAAAAUUUUUAUUCAGACAUCUUGAAUUUGAUUUCUAUACAAAUUGAGAAAAUUCUAUAAGAAUUAUUUUCAUUAUACAGUUCAUUUCAAUUCCCACUUACUAAGAAGAACAAUAUCUCAUCAUAUUAAUAAUUUGAGUAUAAAAUUUAAAAUUAGGAAAAUUUGUUUGAAUUUCCAACAACAAAGGGUCAAAUUGAAUCAAACUAAAGUGCUUUGAUUAAUAUAUUUAGUCGUAUUAUGAAGUAGGUGAGGUCAAAAUUAACAUAUCAUGGGUUGGGGGCCAUAAGUCCAUUAGUGACUACAUAAACAUAUUAUUAUUAUAAUUAUUUUAUAUAUUAUAACUUUUUUUUUUUAAAAGGACCUAAUUACUAGCUAAAUGAUACAUAUAUAUAUAGACCCUCAGAGUCGUUGAUGUAACUCAAACGCGGUAAGACUUUGAAUCUGAUUUUUAUAGCGUGGUCUAGAAGUAAGAAAAUACAUAUAAAUUAGUGACUUUUGUCUCUUUCUAUUAACGUGUGUCUUGACUCUUCCAACUAGUCCUUGGCACUCAUUUUCUAUACUAAUUACAGGAAUAGAAUGGACAAUCACUAAAGAAGAAAAAAAAAAAAAAAAAGCUAUAUGCAUACUCAAGCCCUGCUCAACAAUAGGCUUUGAGCUAGUUUUUAAUAUUUUGUCUAAGUCAAAACUUUAUCUCUAUUAAUUAUAAAUUCGGUAAUAUAGUUUUUAUAAUAGCAUUAGAGGUUGAGAGUUGAGAUAACUUUCUAUGAAACGUUAAACUCUUGCACGUUUAGUUUUUCACGUUUAACAUUUAGCUUUUAAUUAAAUUUUUUUGGACAAUCACACCGGCUAUUUUUUCCUUUAAAUUUAGCUAAUUAAAUAACUUUUUUUUUUUUGUUCUUUAGAUUAAACAACUAUUUUUAGCAAACACUUCUAAUUUAAACUGUCAUAUAAAUUAGCUAGUAGCUAAUAAAACAGUUAACAACUAAUACAAUAGCUAACAGCUACUAAAAUAGCUAAUAUUGUCUAAUAGACCCUAAAUUUUGUAUAAUUUAAUUUACUCAAUGAAAAUUUGUAAAACUAUAUAAAUAAAAAGGUUAAUUUCCAAUAAUUUUGACUUUUUUGUUGUGUCAAUUACUUCUUUUCCAGUUUAUUUCCUUUAAUCGUUUUUAUUCUUUAGUGUUCAAAUAAAAUUUAUAAAUUUACAUGAUUUUUAAAGUUAUUUUUUAUGAGGUUAUUGUUAUUUUAAAUUAUAAUAAAGCUUACUGUUAGCAUUUGAAACUAUUAUUUUGAAAAACAUAUAUAAAUAAUAUGACAUUGUUAUUUUUGUUAGCAUAUUUAUGCUAAAAAUUGUAAAUUAAAUAGUCAAAAAAAUUAAAAUUUAGUAUUUUAGAAAAAAUGGCAUAUUUGGUUUUUCUUCACUCAAAAUCUUAAAAAAAAAAAAAAAAAAAUUGGUGAUAUUGAUGUUAAAUAGUUUGAUUGAGGCUAUAAGACCGUUAAUUUGCUCAUCAAAAACACUUUCUUCUAUACAUUGGCCAAUUGAUAUACAAAAUUAGAAUAUGUAAACUCAAAUAUUUCAAGUGAUAGUUUCAUGAAAGGAGUAAAUAUAUAAUGUACUUUUUUUUCCUUUGGUAUUUUGGAUUCAAAUGAGGUAGAGUUCAUUGCUAUUUUCUCUGCUAUAGAACUGUACUGGUUUUCUGAAUAUAAGUCUUAACCUUUGAUCAUUCAAUCUAACUCCCGAAAUGCUCUUUGUUGGAUUUUAUAAAAAACAAAAACGGUCUUGGCGUUGACAGAAAAGAUUCAACAAAUUUGAUUUCAUAAAGUCUCCAAUGAGUCAAGUGGAGUUCAGAUAUAUUAACAGAGCAUGUAAUCAGUUUGCAAAUUGUUUGUCAAAGAAGGGGGUUGAGGCAACAAAUCAAUACUUGGCUUGGAUCUUAUGAUGAUUGUAAGAGCUUUCAACAAGCGUUUUCGCAAAUUUCUUCAAAGUUUUAUGCUGGUUUACUGUCAUUUCUCACAUCAAGAAAUGCUUGUAUUUCAAGUUUAGAUUUAUUGUAAAUGCAAAUUAUUUAUGUUUGGUUUAUUCUAGUCCAAUAUAGGUGUAAUUCUAUAUGGAACUUUGUUUGGAAUAUUUAUAUGGCUCAUUUAUGGAGUCUAUUGUAUCUUUUCAUUUAAGAGGUCUUGACUAUAUUUUUUUACCUAAUAUUAUGCUAGGAUUGGGUGUAAAAGGGUGCCUAUCAGCUAGGAUUAGUACUUGGAUAUAUUAAGUUUUUUCUGGACAUAUAUAAAUAAAAUAAAAUCAACAUUAAUGAUAAAAAAAAACUUUUUUUUCUUUUAACCAAGAUUUUUUGAAUUUUCUUGGUAAAAAAGUUUUGCAUGACACAAUAUUUCAGUACGUAUUUAAGAAAAAAAUAAAUUAUUUUUCCUUCACAAAUAUUUUUUUCAUAGCAUUUUUUCUUAAUAAGAUGUUAACGGGACAUAUUUUUUCGAAUAAUGGAUAUCCAACUAGGAGCGUUAUCAAAUUAGUGGAUGAUGUAUAUAUAUUAGAAGUCUAUAUUCCUAAAUACUCCAAAGAUCUAUAUAAAUUACAAGUCUAUUUCCUAAUUAGGGUACCUUAUGUGUCUAUAUAUGUAUAUGGCUUCUCAUGAGAAUGAUGUUCAAAAUUUUUUAUAUGUUCUCUCUCUACUUCUCUCCCUACUUUUCCCAUUAUAUUAUAACAUUUACAUGCUUUUCAAAAUUAUAUUUUAUGAGACUAUUGUUAUUUUAAGUCAUAAUAAAGGUUACGUACUGUUUAGCAUUUGAAACUAUUAUUUUGAAAAAAAUACAUAAAUAAUUUAAAAUUGUUAUUUUUAUUAGCAUAUUUACGUUAAAAAUGUUAUGGUAAAAAAUUAAAGGCUUCAUAUAUUAUUUCACUAUGAAUUUUGUGUUUUAUUACAUUUUCACUCCAAUUUAACAUUUAUAUCAAUUUUACAAUGAACUUUGACCUCCUGUUGAAAUAGCACCCUAAAUACAAUUAAGAUUUAAAUUGCAAAUAAAAAUAUAUUACUAUAGAGUUCACUCUUAAAUUUAGGUUUCGAUUAAUUUAAUAUAUUUAUUUAAGUGUGGAAGCUUGGGUUAAUAAUAAGAAAAAUCACUAUUAUCAUUAUUUAAUAUUUUUAAAAUUUUUUAUUUAAUUGCUAAUAAGUAAUAGAUAAAAAUGCAUUUUGUGAUACAUAGACGUCACCUUUUAAAAAAAAUUAGAGUACUUCUUAAACAAUAAACUAAUUAUUAUUAUUGUUUGAUUUUUAAUGUAAUUUUUGAAAUAAUUAUAAAAGCUAAAAAAAAAAGAUACUAUGAAAUUAUUUAAAUCAUAAGCUAUUUAAAAUUAUAAAUAACUUUUUAUCAAAAUAGAAUAUAAAAUAUAAUUAUAAUCAAUUAAAUAGUUAUAAUUAUAGAAUGAAAACAAAUAUGCAAGACAACAAUCAAACUUAAUAAAUUCAUAUGAGUAAAAAAAAUUGAAUUAAGUUAACCUAAAGUCAAGAGUGGAUUCUAUAUUAAUGUACUUUUUAUUUAUAAUUUAAAUUUUAAUUACAAUUUAGAAUGUUAUUGCAACAUAAACAUCAAAAUAAAGUGAAAUUGCAACAUGAUAUAAAAUUCAGGGUUAGAAUCCGUAUUAUGCAAAAAUUAAAAUAAAAGGUCAGAUUUAGUAUUUGAAAAAAGGACAUAUUUAGUUUUUUUUUUCCUUUAAAAAAAUUAGUAAAUUAUUCGUUAUCUCCCUUUAAGAAUUUUUAUUCAAGAGCAAUUUCCUUGUCAUUUUUAAUUCUUCCUGUUAGUUAUACUAGUCUGACUAAGAAUUGUAGAUAUAACUCAAACUCAUAGAUAUCCAUUAUCCACGGAUACCAUUUAUCCACUGAUUUAUAUUGUUUAAAAAUUAAAUUAUAUUGAAUUAAAAAAAUUAAAGUAUUUAUCUAAAUGAUUGAUAAUAUAUAAAAAGUAUGAAUUAAAUUAAUACAUAAAAAAAGUUGGAAGAAUGAUAAAUUAAAAUUUUAAUUUCAAAAUUGUUAUUCUUAUCAUAAUACUUUACUCAAAUGCAAUGAUAGCAAACUAUCUCAAAUGUAAUUAUAACAAAAAUCAAUUAAUAGAAUAACUAAAAAACUCAUGCAACAAAAUCACUAUAUAUAAACUAUGUGUUGUGGUAUAGUUGGCAAAGCAGGUUAGGUAUGUGGGAAGAGCUUUCGGAUCAAAUCUCUGCUAAACACACCUACAAGGAGGGGUGAAGAGCAUUAACUGUGACUAAGCCUCGAAUCGAACUAGGCAGUCUUUGAUAAUGAGGUCAGGAUACCAAUGGUUUACACACAAAAAAAAAUCACUAUACAUAAAAUAUUAUUAUCUGAACACUCCAAAUAACUAUUAUCACUAUGAUUUUUCUCUAUUAUUUGAAAUUGAAGUUUAAAUGAAAUAUUAGAAAUUAAAUUUUAAAUUUAAAAAUUUAAAAUUUUAAAAAUUUGACCAAUUCAAAUUAAUAUAUGAAAACUAGAAUGAAGUUAUAUUACAUUAAAUUAAAAGUAAAAUUAUAAUUUAUAUAGAUAAUUUACUACAAAUAACUCAAUUUGUUAAAAUUUUCAUACUAUAAUUUUGAAAAAAUAAUAAAUUUUUAAAUCUAUUAGGGUUUGACUUUCGUACGAGUUAUGUUCGGUUUUAUAAUAACAAUACCAUUACUCUACCCACAUUCAAAAUAAAAUUUUUAGGCUUUGUCUAUUUUGUCGAUACGCUACUCAAAUCCAGUCAAAAUCUUAAUUUGAAUUUGAUUAGGUUACGGUUAGAUUUAUAUCCACUCGAUGAGGUUGAUUUUGCCAUCCCUACAGACUCAUGGUGUAUGUGUGAAACUCUGAAUAAUUUUUAUAAAACGUGGUCCAGAAUCAAGAAAUUAUAUUUUUCCUUUGAGGAAUAUACACAGCAAGACUUAGAUUUAGAUUUGGAUAUCUAUCCAUUUAUUCCUAUCACUAUAAGUCUAUAAAUAUAGAUUUAGACUCUUGUAGGCCUUCGGUGGUCAUUUUCUAUGUUAUGCCGUUUUGUUUUGUACAUGCAAAAGGAUAAUAAUAGAGGGAUCGUCUAAAAUGAAUGGCUAAAUUACUAAAAAAAAAAUUCAAAUUUUACAGUUAAUUUUAAUUAUAUUUGAAAUUCAACUUUCUUUUUCAUCUAACUAACCAAGUCUAAAAGUAAGUCUAUAUAUAAAAUUUACGGCUGAAAACACGAAAUACAUGGAAAGACUUAGACAGUUGACGUUCGAGUCUACCUUCUAAUUUUGAUAUCUAUGCAUUUAAUUUAGUCCUAAUAUCAUUAUAAGAUCUAUUUAUUUUUGGAAAAUAACAUAUUUUUGAAAAAUAUUUUCUAAGGAAAAUAUUUUCUGUAUUUUCUAAAUGGUUUAUUUUUCAUUGUUUGGAUGCAAUUUGAAAAUUGAUAAAAAAUAUUAAAAUUUGUAUUUCAUAAGACCAUAAAAAUAAAAAUAAAGAUAAUAUAAAUUUGUAUUUUAAAAAUUUUAUUGUUUACUAUGAGAAAAAUGCAAAAAAAAAGUAAAUUAUGAAAAUUGUCCAUGAUCAGUGGUGGUGGCCGAUGGUGUCUGGUGGUGAACGGUGAUUGGUGGUAGCGACUAUCGAUGAUUACCCAAUUAACAAAAUAUGAAUUUAUAAGGUUAUAGUAAGUUUGUCAGAAUCUUUUUAAAACGGGAAGUCAUUUUUCUUAAAAAUGACUUAAUUUUCCUUUGACCAAGAAAAUAUUUUUCGUUGAUUUAUUUUUUUGAAUGCUCCAAAUAACGAAAAAUUAAAAUAAAUAAUUUUUUAGAAGUUAUUUUAUGGAAAUAAAGGGAGCCUAAUUCUACAUAUAUAAUCAUUGUCAUGACUUUGUUAUCAUGACUUUGCUAGGCCUUUCCUGCUCAUUUUCUAUUCCAAAAUUUUCCCUUUUUUUUAUUAAGAUAUAAAUAGGAGAAUUAUUUGAAUUAUUGAAUAUUUUGAUUAAAUAUCAUAAGAAUUUUUUUUGAUAUUUUAACUGAAAUAUAAAUUCAAAUAUUUCCUUAUUUUAUAUAAAUAUCUAGUCGAUAAACUUUUGAGGACAUAUGCUCCGUUAAAACAAUCGCAAUUUUGGUUUUUUUUUUUUUUUAAUUACUAGUUCUUUCACACGUGUGUUGCACGUGGUACUUCUAGUUGUAUGUACUCAUUAUUUAAUUUAUUGUGCUCAUAAUCUUAAUUUCCUAUAAAAAAUAAUUAAACACAAUAAUCAGUAAAAUAUAAAUAAAAUUAUAACAAUAAUUGAUAAUUAAAUAAAAUAUUUACUAUUAAUUUUCUUUCAUAUUCUUGUUUUUCUACGACAUUUGAAUAAAAAUAUUUAUUCAUAUUCAAAAAUAAAAAAUAAUUGAUAUCAAUUUACACGGCCGGGCUGUCUACCUUGUUAAGUUAGCCAUUUUUUGCUAUUUUGUUCUACUUUUCAGCCCCAAUAUUUUGUAGCUAGAAUGUUAGAACAUAAAAACAUAAUAAUAAUAAUGAAUUCAAAUCGAGCCUCUUCAAUCAUUUUCUUUUACACGCCACUAUAAGUAGACUCUUCAUCAAAACCCAAGCCAAUUCAAUGCAAAAAUAUAGAAUUAAAUAUUACUUAAAAAACUUCUUGUACAAUAAAAUAACUAACUCCUUAAACAAUGUUAAUUAUAAUGUAAUUAUUAUAAAAUUUAUAAUCGUAAUAUAAUAAUUUUUAAAAUCAAUAAAAUUGGAAAUGAAAUUGAUUUUUCUAUUUUUAUUAGAAGUAAAAAUUUAUAUGUUGCUCUAUUAUAUAUUACACGAGUUAUAGUGGGUUUGAUUUGAUAGUUUGCUGUCUCAAAGGCAUUCUAAUUUACUUUAAUUAAUUAUUUAUUUAUUAAUAGUCCUUUACUUUUUUUAUCUAUAAAUAAAGAGCAGUCAUAUUUUACAAAACAUACUAAAUUGUAAUCAUGGUGAUAAUGCAUCUUCAACCUUUCUCUGUGUUUGUUGCUCUUCUUCUCUUUCUAAUGCACUUCCUAAUAGCUUCUGCAGUCCGAAAUGAUUCUGUUCUGUGCAAAGAGAGGGAGAGAGAAGCACUCCUUAGCAUAAAACGUGACCUUAUAGACCACUAUGGUCGUCUCUCUUCUUGGGGAAGUGAAGAAGACAAAAGAGAUUGUUGCAAAUGGGAUUACAUCACUUGCAGCCCCCGAACAGGUCAUGUUACACAGCUUGAUUUUACUGGCGUGGGUUUGAGAGGUAAGAUGAGUCAUUCCUUGCUUGAUCUUAGACAUCUGACUGACUUGGGUUUAUUUGAUAAUGAUUUUGGUGGCACUCAGUUUCCAAUUGAUAAAAAUGGCUCUCUCGCCAAGUUGAGAUACUUACAUCUCUCGUGUGCUAAUUUUGGUGGAACCAUCUCUUCUGUGCUUAGGAAUCUGUCUAGCUUGCAAUUUCUUGCUCUGAGUUAUAAUCAUUUUGUUGAUAUUGGAAACAGCGAUUGGGUUUCUGGUCUUUCCUCUUUAACUUAUCUUGAUCUAACUAGAAUUCCACUGGUUAACCCCAACCAUUGGUUGCAGAUAGUUAACAAUUAUAAGCUCCUUCACCUUCAAACAUUACGGCUACAGUAUUGCUUUUCAGGAGAUGAGAUUAAUACUCUGCCACUUUCCCCUAUCAAUUCUUCUUCCGCUCUUACAGACAUCUCUCUCUUUGACAACAACUUUGUGAUUCCUUCAAUAUACCCAUGGUUGUCUAACAUCUCCCAGAAUAUCCAAUUUCUUGAUCUUUCUUCUAACAUUUUAUAUGGUUCAGCUCUUGCUGAUUUUGAUAAAAUUAUUUCUCUUCCAUAUAUUAAUCUCUCUAAUACUACAAUUGGGGGCUAUAUUCCAAAAUCCUUUGGGAACAUGUCUCAAUUGCAAUAUCUAUACCUAUCAAGUAACAAGUUCAACAUGAAACUUUUUGACUUGAUCCAAAAUCUAUCCGGAUUUACUGAGAGAUCUUUAGAGGAAUUAUCUUUGGACCACAAUCAAAUAGGAGGUUCAUUGCCUGAUGAAAUUGCAAGAUUUUCAUCUUUAAGAAAUUUAUUUCUCGGAAACAAUCAUUUGAAUGGGACCAUAAGUAAAAGCAUUGGAUGUCUGUCUCAACUCGAAAAAUUUAGCAUCAACUCGAAUUCAUUGAGUGGUGUUAUCUCCGAACAUCAUUUCUCAAAUAUGUCAGAAUUAUCUAUAUUGGAUUUAUCAGGUAAUUCUCUAAUUUUGAAUAUAAGUGUCAACUGGGUUCCCCCUUCCAGCUUAAGAUGUAUCUUUCUUGCAUCUUGCAAGAUUGGGCCUCAUUUCCCAAAAUGGCUUCAUAGUCUAAAAAAUUAUGACGUGCUUGAUAUUUCAGAUGCUGGAAUUUCUGAUUUUGUUCCUAACUGGUUUUGGAGUUUGUCUUCAAUUUAUUCAUAUGUGAAUAUCUCCUAUAAUAAUUUGAGUGGAAUAGUGCCAAAUAUUUUUGUGGGGACUAAAUAUUUCUCCAUUGAUGUGAGUUACAAUUGUUUCUAUGGUCCAUUACCUUUUUUUUCAAAAUCUAAACUACUUGUCCACGUUGACCUUUCUAAUAAUCUAUUUUCUGGAAGAAUUCCUCAUGAUUUUAUGAAUAUGUAAAAUUUAGUGUUCUUGAAUUUGGCCAACAAUGUUUUGUCUAGCAAAAUUCAUUCUUCUAUUGGAUUCAUGUCCAAACUCCAAACACUAAAUUUAAAAAAUAAUAAAUUAUCAGGAGAGUUGCCUUUUUCUUUAAGGAAUUGCACUAAGUUGAAUUUCCUUGAGCUAAGUGGUAACAAAUUGUCUGGUAACGUACCUAUUUGGUUUGGAAAAAGCUUAUCAUCUUUGCAAUAUCUUAGCCUACGAUCCAACCAAUUCUCUGGAAGCCUGCCCUUACAGUUGUGCCAAUUGACAAAUGUUCAGAUAUUAGAUCUCUCUAUAAACAAUAUCAAUGGAACCAUACCACAUUGCUUGAACAAUUUAAGAGCCAUGAUUGAUGAGAAUUCUAAUGAGACCAUUCUCCAUGACUAUGGCCCUCUUCUACAGCAUAGCCUUUUAAGAUUUCAUGACGAUGACGAGGCGUUGGUUCUUUGGAAGGGCUCAGAGUAUAUAUUAGAUAAAAAUCUUGGACGAUUUAGGAUAAUUGAUCUUUCAAGUAACAAAAUAGAAGGAGAGAUUCCAAGAGAAAUAGCAAUCCUCUCAAGUCUUAGGCAAUUGAACUUGUCCAAUAACAAGUUGAGUGGUGCAAUCCCUGAAGAAAUUGAUGGCUUGAAGCAGUUAGAGUCACUUGAUCUGUCUCAAAAUCAACUAUCAGGCAGACUUCCUGCAAGCAUGUCUAUUUAAAUUUUUUGAAUACCUUGAAUUUGUCACAUAAUAAUUUUUUUGGAAAAAUUCCAUCGGGUACUCAACUCCAGACCUUUAAUGCUUCCACAUAUAGCAAUAAUCUUGCACUCUGUGGGUCUCCACUUCCACAAAAAUGUCCAGAAGACAAUAUUCAAGAUUCUCCAUCCAGUCAUGAUGAUCAUGAUAAUCAAGAAGAUGAAUUCAACAAAUCGCUUUACCUUGGUAUUGGAGUUGGAUUCGCUGUAGGCUUUUGGGGUGUUUCUGGCGUUUUACUAUUAAAGCGUUCUUAUAGAUAUGCCUUUUUUAAGUUCGUGGAUUAAUUGAAAGAUUGGAUUUAUGUAAGAACGGUAAUAUACAUGAAGAAAUUGCAGCAAAUCAAGGUAAGAUUUAGCCUUACUCUUCCUGUUUAAAUUUAAGUAGUUAGGCUUUAAUAGCUAUGCUUCAUACUAUAUUUUUUAAAAUGAUAAAUAAUUUUAGAAUUGUACUAACUUCCUUUUCUUCUCUUUGGUUUUUGCUCAUCCGCUCUGUUUCUUCACACUAGAAUCUGGCGGCACUGAUGCAACAUUAAUUGGGGCUGGUUGCUGGAUAUCAAUAGAUAUAUAAUUUUAUUUCUAACGUAACAGUGCAAAUGAGUUUAAUUACUGUUUGUACCAUUUGCUACAGUCUGAUAAUGAAAAUUCCUUAUUAGAUACUUUACAUCAUUUAUUUAUUAUUUAAUAAUAAUAUUAUUAUUAUUAUGUUAAUAUUUUUAUAAUUCGUUGGGAGGCCAAUGGGUCGAAAUGAUACUAUGGGCUACACAAUAACACUCCCUUCUAACUCAUAAAAUCAAUGAAAACUAAUGUAAUCAAAUUAAUUAAAACUAUUGUGAUCAAGAGAAUUCGAACCGAAUACCUAUUUUUUACAUAAGUUACAUAAGUGAGAAAAAUUAUUCAUUAUGUUAAUUGUAAUAUUGUAUUAAUUAUAUAGUAAAUAUAAUUAAUAAAAUCAAUUUCUAAUUAGAGAAUAUAAAAUUUUUUAAAUUCAAAAUUCCUUUAUUUUUAUCACAUUAGAUUUAACUUUCUAUUUAAUCAAAGAAGAUAUAUGAGACCUUAUAAUACAACUUAUCCUUGAUAAAAACAUCACAUUACAUAGAAUUCAUAACAUUUUCACUAACUUUUAAAUAUUUUAAAUAUUAAGAUAAUAUUUUAUAAAAAAUUAAUUCAUAUAAAUCAACAUUUUAUAAAAUAUUACACCACUAAAUUAACAACUAAUCUUAUCAUAAUAUGAGUUCUUAUCAAACAACUAAUCUUAUCAAACACACCCUAAUACUCAUAAUAAAAGUUCUUUUGAAAUUGUUUUAUCACACAAUGGUAUCACUAGAUUUCUAGGAACUUAAUUCAAUAGUAAAAACAAUAAAAAAUCCUCGAUUUAGUAUUUUUUUUUUUUUUCCCACUAAAAUCAUACCAGUAUAAUGUUUGCAAGAGGCAGUAAACCACUGAAUUAACUUCAACACUAGAGGGAAGGGCGGGGAAGAGAGGGAGAGAGAGAGAGGCAGUGGAAGAAGCAGAAACGAAGUGAACAGAGGGAGAGAAAAAAGAAAAAAGUAGCUCUUUGAGGAAGAGAACAAUUUGGGUUAUGGAUUAAAAAUAUAACAGAAAGGUCCAAUUAGCCAGAAUUACAGGCAAAUAUACAACAAUGAUACAAUGGAGAACGAUCUCUCUCAACACAACUAGAAAAGGAAUUCAAUUAAAUUAUACAUUCCCUCCCCCUUUCCUAAUCUUCAAAACUGAGCAUAUCUGCAAACAAGGAAGAUCUACUUAAGAGUCCUCAAAUUCAACAAACCUAAUAAAUAAUUGGUACCAAUAUUAGCAGAAUGAGAAGAACGAUAAAUGAAAAAGAAAAAACAAAAAAAAAUAGCAAUCCAUCAGUAUCAAAGCAUUGAAAUGUUACAGGAGAAGAGAAGCAUCGCAAAAGAGCAUCACCAACAAAUCUACUGAGUACCAAAUCCUUAAAAAUGUAUUACCAUUUGUCAACCCUUUCCCUUAUUAUAUUUAGGAGGUUUCUCUAAUUGAUUGUAGCUGAGAGAAGGAAAUCCGGAUUAUUGACCCGGCAAGCGAGGUGGCAUGCUUACAAGCAAGUGCUUCAGUGGCCUGCUCCUCAGUCUCAAAUAAAACAAGGGCUUGUUUUUUACCGUUCAUCUCAAAAAGCCUGCUGUUGACAACAGUGCCAUGCUCCUCUAAGAGGCUAACAAUCUCCUCUUCUGUUAUGUCUUGAGGGAGAGUGGAAAGGUGGAUCAUCUUUGUUGGUGAGCAGCAGUACUUAUAGUUCUUUGCAGCAUUUCGAUUGAAGCGAUUGAGAUUAGAGUUCACAUAUUCAUGUGUGUCAGCACCUUGAGUUAUAUUUGGAUACUUU